UGCAUGUCUAAGUAUAAAUAAUUUUUACUGUGAAACUGCGAAUGGCUCAUUAUAUCAGUUAUAGUCUAUUUGAUAGUACCUUACUACUUGGAUAACCGUAGUAAUUCUAGAGCUAAUACAUGCUAAAAAACCCAACUGCUUGUCGGACGGGUUGCAUUUAUUAGAUUGAAACCAAUCUGGCACUUGUGUCGGUAUUGAGUUGAGUCAUAAUAACUGUGCGGAUCGUAUUUCUAUGCGAUGAAUCAAUUGAGUUUCUGCCCUAUCAGCUUUGGAUGGUAGGAUAUGGGCCUACCAUGGCAUUAACGGGUAACGGGGAAUUAGGGUUUGAUUCCGGAGAGGGGGCCUGAGAAACGGCCACCACAUCCAAGGAAGGCAGCAGGCGCGUAAAUUACCCAAUUCUGACACAGAGAGGUAGUGACAAUAAAUAACAAUGCCGGGCUUUUUUAAGUCUGGCAAUUGGAAUGAGAACAAUUUAAAUCCCUUAACGAGGAUCAAUUGGAGGGCAAGUCUGGUGCCAGCAGCCGCGGUAAUUCCAGCUCCAAUAGCGUAUAUUAAGAAAAGUUAAUAUCUUACCACGCAUGGUAAAACUUUAAAUGCGCAUAAAAGUAGCUUUGAAAGAAGUUGCUAGUCUACAUGACUGGGUUGUCUUCUGUCUUUGGAUGGAAGAUGACUUGGUAGUAGGCGACACCAUCAAAUUGCGGGAACUCCCUAAAGCUUUGAGUACUAAGUCUAGAUAGAAAUAUACUAGAUGGCCAGGUUAAUGACCUCGGGUAUAGUAAAAACCUCAAAGAUGAAUUAUGACAAUGGGUAAUCCGCAGCCAAGCUCUACAGUAUGAAUAUAUACCAUGAGUGCAGUUCACAGACUAAAUGGUGGUGGGUAUACCAUAUGGUAUGCUUAAGAUAUAGUCGGACCCAUCUUGAAAGGGAUGUUCAUAGGAGGAAUCUUGUACUUAAAAGCAGGAGGAGAGUCUAUGAAGUGUUAGUAAUAACAUGGAGUAAUCGAUAUUAAAGUUGUUGCAGUUAAAAAGCUCGUAGUUGGAUUUCUGUCUUGAAUUUCCGGUCCGUAUAUUUAUUUAUAUGUGUACUUGGAAUUUCGAUUCAUUUUUUGUGAGACUGUUGUACUGACAUUAAGUUGUUGGCAUAAUGGGCUUGCAUCGUUUACUGUGAAAAAAUUAGAGUGUUUAAAGCAGGCGUUUCGCUGUUGAAUACAUUAGCAUGGAAUAAUAAAAUAUGACUUUGGUGGUCUAUUUUGUUGGUUUGCACACCAGAGUAAUGAUUAAUAGGGACAGUUGGGGGUAUUCAUAUUUCAGCGUCAGAGGUGAAAUUCUUGGAUCGCUGAAAGAUGAGCUUAGGCGAAAGCAUUUAUCAUGGAUGUUUUCAUUAAUCAAGAACGAAAGUUAGGGGAUCGAAGAUGAUUAGAUACCAUCGUAGUCUUAACCAUAAACUAUGCCGACUCGGGAUUGGCAGUCGUUGAUUUAAUGACCUUGUCAGCACCGUAUGAGAAAUCAAAGUCUUUGGGUUCCGGGGGGAGUAUGGUCGCAAGGCUGAAACUUAAAGGAAUUGACGGAAGGGCACCACCAGGAGUAAACUUAGUUAUCCACUAGUUUUCAAACGUAUACUAUUUAGCCGUAGUACUCUGCUCCAAAAAGCAGCCCUAAAGGGUGAGGUGGGUUUUGCACUUGUAAAAACAAAAGGUAAAUGCUAGUCUAAUUUUAUAUUGGGCGACACUGUCAAAUUGCGGGGAGUUCCUUAGAGCCUUUACUACCAAGUUAAGAUGGAAACAUACUUAAUGGCCAGGGUAAUGACCUCGGGUAUGGUAAAAACGUAAAGGAUUGGAUAAUCCGCAGCCAAGUCCUAACCUCUUUAAAGAGUAUGGAACGGGUUCACAGACUAAAUGGCAGUGGGUGUACUAUAAAAAAGUACGCUUAAGAUAUAGUCGGACUGUACUUGAAAGAGUAUAGACGAUAACUUUUAUAAAAAAGGCUUGGGAGCCUGCGGCUUAAUUUGACUCAACACGGGAAAACUUACCAGGUUAAAAAACAGAACAUUUUUUACAUUUGUCUGGGCCUGGGAUAGUAGGGACUCUUUCGAGAGUUUAUGCCUGCUAGUAUUGAUUUAAUCCAUGUAAGACUUUUAAGUCUGUUAUUUUGGGCAUGGACCAUUGGUAUCAAUGCGACAUCAGCUGGUACAGGGGACGCUAAGGGUUUUAUACCUAUGCCAAUCCUGUGGCGAGUCUAUACAUUGCGAAAUGUACAUGACCGUCGCAACGCGCGCUAAGCGAUGGGCUAAACUCUAGUAGUUGGCUUAAGGGACGUGCUAAUCCCUCGGGAAACCGAGUCUGUGUUUGGAAGGCCAAAAUCCUAAAGAACAUAGAAACCAUUUGACUUUGUAUAGGAAAUGAUACAGAGAAGGUUUGGUAAUUUGAAAAUUGAUAGAUUUUAUACGUAAAUAUAAAAUAUACAUCAAUGGUAGUAUUGCCGGACAUAGUAAGGAUUGACAGAUUGAGAGCUCUUUCUUGAUUCUAUGGGUGGUGGUAAGCUAGAACGCAUGUGCCACUGUAGAGCUGCUGUAUUUCGUUUGUAUUUUGUACCCACCCUUAAGAUGGUACAUAAAGAGAAAUAUAGGUAAACACUCUGCAAGUCUUUUUAUUUAAAGGCAACAUCAUCAAAUUGCGGGAAACUCCUAAAGCCUCAACUACCAAGUCUAGAUAGAAAUAUACUAGAUGGCCGAGCUAAUAGCCCUGGGUAUGGUAAAAACGUUGAGUGAUGUUACAAUGGACAAUCCGCAGCCAAGUCCUAACGUAUAUAUAUAUAUACUAUGGAUGCAGUUCACAGACUAAAUGGUGAUGGGCGAAAGCUUAAGAUAUAGUCGGGCCCUUGUUGAAAGACAAGUGUAGCGAGAACGCUGCAAAAUGUAUUUCAUACAUUUGGAUAUUUGGCAUGGCCGUUCUUAGUUGGUGGAGUGAUUUGUCUGGUUAAUUCCGUUAACGAACGAGACCUCCGCCUGCUAAAUAGUUUUGCAUACAAUUUUUGUAUGUUAAGACUUCUUAGAGGGACUUUUGGCGAUUAGCCAAAGGAAGUUGGAGGCAAUAACAGGUUAAAGUACACAGGCCUGUAAAAGUGAUAUAUUAUAUAUAUUGCUAGUCUAAUUGUUUUAUUUCUGCGGAGAAGUCUCCUAUUAUCAGGCAGAAACCUUUUUUAAAGGUACAAUAGGCGAGACUACCUGGAACAGGGGACACCUUAUAUUCUAAAUAGAAACAAAGGUCAAUCCUGUGGCGAGCUGGAGUAACGACCAGCCGUCGCAACGCGCGCUAAGGAGUCGGUCUUGAUUUUGUUCUAUACGUACAAACGAGGCUUAAGGGACGUGCUAAUCCCAUGAGUAAUCAUGCAUUUACACCAAGGUCUGAUAAGCCAAAGUGUAUUUGAACUUUAGAAAUAAAGUUGGUGUUGAUUUUUUACAAAGGUAUACUUAGUCUCUCUUCGUAUCGAAAGAUACAAUGAGGAGUGUCUACAUGAAGUACAAUCUUCAUAUAUUAAAAUCAACAAUUGCUGUGAUGCCCUUAGAUGUUCUGGGCCGCACGCGCGCUACACUGAUGCGUUCAACGAGUUUACAACCUUGACUGAUAGGUCUGGGUAAUCUUUUGAAUGCGCAUCGUGCUAGGGAUAGAUUAUUGCAAUUAUUAAUCUUGAACGAGGAAUUCCUAGUAAACGCAAGUCAUCAGCUUGCAUUGAUUACGUCCCUGCCCUUUGUACACACCGCCCGUCGCACCAACUGAUUGAAUGGUUCGGUGAAAAAUUGGGACCACGAGUCUUUUUGCUUCAUUGCGAAUUGAUUUGAGGGAACUUUUUUAAAUCACACUAUUUAGAAGAUGGUGAAGUCGUAACAAGGUUUCCGUAGGUGAACCUGCGGAAGGAUCAUUACCACACCUUAUAACAUUAAACUUUUGUGAAUUGUCUCGUUCGAUAAUAUAUAUCUUGAUUUGACUGUGGCAACGCAGUUGGAAAGGGGUAUAUAUUAUUAUAAUUAACCUACCUUAUAAAUAAUACUGAUUCUAGAUAAACUAGAAAGUUAUAUAAAUUUAUAUACAACUUUUCAGCAGUGGAUGUCUAGGCUCGC
rnacentral:rRNA from 1 species